CUGUUCUAGUAAUUUACAGGUCAAAACAGGAUUAAGGAACGGCGAUGCGGCUCAGCUUUCCUAACCCCCGUUUCUGCUAAGCCCUUGACUGUAAAGCCUCCCAAAGACACAAAAUGUCUUGUUUUUUUCUUUGUUUGUUAAAUUUCACUUCUUUCUGAACAUUCUGUGCUGGGCCUUUUUUUUUCCCUUCUUCUUCUAAAAGGAUUACUGCACUAGGGCCCGGCAUUCCAGAGGCCUGACGUUGGGACCAGCAGCUGGGUCCGUGCUCCCACUGCUGUCAGACCGGCAUUGCCAAGAUCCUUAUUAUUUCUGCUCCGCAUUUUCUCAGAAUCCCAGAGGGCUUAGUGGAAGAGACAG
rnacentral:lncRNA from 1 species